GCGGACCGGUAGUUCAGUUGGUUAGAAUGCCGGCCUGUCACGCCGGAGGUCGCG
rnacentral:tRNA from 1 species